rnacentral:rRNA from 1 species
UACGAAGGGUGCAAGCGUUACUCGGAAUUACUGGGCGUAAAGCGUGCGUAGGUGGUUUGUUAAGUCUGAUGUGAAAGCCCUGGGCUCAACCUGGGAAUGGCAUUGGAUACUGGCAGGCUAGAGUGCGGUAGAGGAUGGCGGAAUUCCCGGUGUAGCAGUGAAAUGCGUAGAGAUCGGGAGGAACAUCUGUGGCGAAGGCGGCCAUCUGGACCAGCACUGACACUGAGGCACGAAAGCGUGGGGAGCAAACAGG